rnacentral:rRNA from 1 species
AUGAAUAUUUUGUCUUGGAACUGCCCGGGGGGGGGGGGGACUCGGACAGUUCGUGAGGUUUUGGCCCUCUCAAAAGCCAAUAACCCCAAGCUAGUCUUUGUUUGUGAGACUAGGCAGGAGGCAACCAAGAUAGAGAAAAUGAAGUGGAGGCUGGGCCUAAAAGGCUUCCACGGUGUCAGUAGUGAUGGAAGAAGCGGAGGGCUAGCUUUGUUCUGGGAUGAGAAUCUCACUGUUAUGGUUCUGGAAUCUUGUAGUAGGUUCAUUGACGUUCGGAUUCUUGAAGGAGGCUCUAGUAUCUCAUGGAGGGAUACUUUUGUUUAUGGGGAGCCGAGAGUGGAAAAUCUUCAAUGGAUGUGGGAUCAUCUGUGUCGUCUGCGGGCCGUGUCGCGAGAACCAUGGGUCGUUUGCGGCGACUUCAAUGAAGCACUCUGGCAGCACGAGCACUUGUCAAGAUCAACCAGAGCGGAGACACAAAUGUCAGCGUUCAGGGAUUGCCUACAAACAUGUGAGCUUGAGGAUCUUGGGUUCUCAGGCAUCCAUACACAUACAAUAAUGGUCAAGUGA